rnacentral:rRNA from 1 species
GUGGGGAAUCUUAGACAAUGGGGGAAACCCUGAUCUAGCCAUGCCGCGUGAGCGAUGAAGGCCUUAGGGUUGUAAAGCUCUUUCAGAUGGGAAGAUAAUGACGGUACCAUCAGAAGAAGCCCCGGCUAACUCCGUGCCAGCAGCCGCGGUAAUACGGAGGGGGCUAGCGUUGUUCGGAAUUACUGGGCGUAAAGCGCACGUAGGCGGACCAGAAAGUCAGAGGUGAAAUCCCAGGGCUCAACCUUGGAACUGCCUUUGAAACUCCUGGUCUUGAGGUCGAGAGAGGUGAGUGGAAUUCCGAGUGUAGAGGUGAAAUUCGUAGAUAUUCGGAAGAACACCAGUGGCGAAGGCGACUCACUGGCCCGUUACUGACGCUGAGGCGCGAAAGCGUGGGGAGCAAACAGGAUUAGAAACCCGGGUAGUCC